rnacentral:rRNA from 1 species
CCUACGGGCGGCAGCAGUGGGGAAUAUUGCACAAUGGGGGAAACCCUGAUGCAGCGACGCCGCGUGAGUGAAGAAGUAAUUCGUUAUGUAAAGCUCUAUCAGCAGGGAAGAAAAUGACGGCACUUGAGUAAGAAGCUCCGGCUAAUUACGUGCCAGCAGCCGCGGCAAGACGUAGGGGGCAAGCGUUAUCCGGAUUUACUGGGGUUAAAGGGAGCGUAGACGGCAUGGCAAGUCUGGAGUGAAAGGCGGGGGCUCAACCCCCGGACUGCACUGGAAACUGUACGGCUGGAGUGCAGGAGAGGUAGGUGGAAUUCCUGGUGUAGCGGUGAAAUGCGUAGAUAUUAGGAGGAACACCAGUGGCGAAGGCGGCUUACUGGACUGUAACUGACGUUGAGGCUCGAAAGCGUGGGGAGCAAACAGGAUUAGAUACCCGAGUAGUC